ensembl:lncRNA
AGAGAAAAUAUCUGAGGUUUAUUUUGUAUAAAAGCGGAGCGUGGAGCCUCCGACUGCUUCACACCAACAUGACUCCUUCAAUCAUUUUACAGCAAAAACAACUUGAGAUGUGGCGUCUGCUGCUGCUCCAACGAUCAGUGGGUUUAAAGGAGCACGCUGCCGUUUCCUCCAAACAUGAACCACCUUCCACUGAUUCAUUCACUAAAACUUCACAACAUGGACCUGCUCUAAAGGUCCGUUUCUACAGCGUCAGGGCUGGAAGUUCAUUCACGUUGUUGAAGCAUUUUAAAGCAAAAAUCCACCUGAACAGCUCCUUCAGCUUUCUGUGAUAAUAAACAAAGACAUUUGACUGAAACAUCAAUCAUUUGUCACAUUUUAAAUCCCAAACAUCCAUCGUUCUAACAGAAAACAGAUGGUUCUACACAUAUUCAUUAGAAAACAAACUAAUCGUCUCUAUCAGACUUUCAAAGUGGUCUUAAAAAUACGCUCACAGAAACUGUCAAAUUAUAUUUCAAUUCUUAACCUGUUUUUAGCAGCAUAAAGUUUUCAUUUGUUCCUUUGCUGAAACAUUUGUUUUGUCUCUUCAAAGAUCAUUUACAGCAAAACUUCUCCAUAAAUAUGAUUAAAUAAUGAGCCUGACAGAGGACUGACCGCUAACGGCCGACAGCAGCGUGUCCCUGUAAACCACAGACGACAGCAGGAAGGGUUAAGACUUCAUCGGACAGCAAUCAAUAACUAAUAAUCAAUAACUGAUCAGCUUCAUCGACACUGAAUAAGUAAACAAACAAACAGUGAUGUACUGCAGAGAGGUUGGCUUACAGUCGAACAGAAACCAGUUCAAACGCCACAGGAACGAGUGUGUUUAUGUCUGUGUUUGUGGGGACACGACCGCCGUGUUGGAACAUGACCGCAGUGUGGGGAUAUGACCGCUGUGUGGGGACACGACAACUUCUGGGAGACGACCGCCGUGUGGGGACACGACCAACUUGUGGGAGACGACAGCCGUGUGGGGACACGACCGCCGUGUGGGGACACGACCAACUUGUUGGAGACGACCGCCGUGUGGGGACACGACCAACUUGUGGGAGAUGACCGCCGUGUGGGGACACGACCCCCGUGUGGGGACACGACCGCCGUGUGGGGACACGACCAACUUGUUGGAGACGACCGCCGUGUGGGGACACGACCAACUUGUUGGAGACGACCGCCGUGUGGGGACACGACCAACUUGUUGGAGACGACCGCCGUGUGGGGACACGACCGCCGUGUGGGGACACGACUGCCGUGUCGGGACACAACCAACUUGUGGGAGACGACCGCCGUGUGGGGACACGACUGCAAUGUGGGGACACGACAGCCAUGUAAGGACACGACCGCAGUGUGGAGACACGACCGCCGUGUGGGGACACGACCGCAGUGUGGGGACACGACCGCAGUGUGGGGACACAACCGCAAUGUGGGGAUGCAAUCGCUGUGUCAGGACACGACAGCUGUGUAAGGACACGACAGACGUGUGGGGACAUGAUCACAAUGUGGGGACAUGACCGCAAUGUUGGGACACGACUGUAUUGUGGGGACACGACCACUGCGUGGGGACACAGCUGCAAUGUGGGGACACGACCGCCAUGUGGGGACACGGCUGCAAUGUGGGGACAUGAACAGACUUGGUUCCAGGGUUCAGGUUGGAAUCAGGUUGAAGUCACUGAGGUUCCUAACAAACACAGACAGACCAGUGUGUGUGUGUGUGUGUGUGUGUGUGUGUGUGUGUGUGUGUGUGUGUGUGUGUGUGUGUGUAUGUGUGUGAUGGGCGGGGCCAUGAAGGCAACGUGCCCCGCCCUUUCCAUGCGACAGGCUCAGCUCCGAGGUCAGAGGUCAUCACAUGCCCUGCCUGAUGCUCUGGAUGAUCUGGAAGAUGGC